UGCGACUGUCCAGGACCUGCACACACACACACAUGCACGCAUGCACACACACACACACAGAAGGUGAACACACAGGAUGAGGCCCUGAAAACUCAUUUCACCCGUGUACCUCACCCAAAAAUUCCCCUUUGUACUCCUAUCUUUAUCUCUAACUGACAGCAUGAAGGUAGCCCGAAGUCCCCUCACCCUGUCUGUCCUCCUGAUUCUCUAGCCCAGUUCCCUCUAGCUCCAGCACAGACUCUUAUCUCCAGCCCUGACUGCCGAAACCCUCCAGCCCCAGCUCCAGCCCCUCAGGAGGGGACUGCGUGGGAGGAAUGACUCCAGCAAGCCGGCAGCUGACCCGUCUCCUGCCUGCACGCCUCCCGCUGUGGUCCACUGCCGGUGGUCUUCAGCUCUCUCCUCGUCCCACCCCCAUGGUCUGCUGACAGCCCAGCUCAGUGCAUCCCUGCCAUCUCUGCUCUACCGCUGGUCCUCCCAACAACCAACUUACAGGUGGCCCAGUGCUGAGACACAAGGGAGGUGUUUCUGGUCUGCAGACACUGAGGACGCUUGCUAUGUGGCGUGGUGGACGGUGGGGUUUCACUCCCGUCACCCAGACUGGAGUACAAUGGUGCGAUCUCAGCUCACUGCAACCUCUGCCUCCUGGGCUUAAGCGAUUCUCCUGCCUUGGCCUCCCAAGUAGCUGGGAUUACAGGUGCCUGCCACCACUCCUGGCUAAUUUUUGUAUUUUUUGUAAAGGCGGAGUUUCUCCAUGUUGCCCAGGCUAGUCUCAAACUCCUGAGCUCAAGCAAUCCACCCGCCUCGGCCUCCCAAAUAAGUGGAAUUAUAGGUGUGAGCCACCACGCCGGCCCUGAUGUAUCAAUAUUAAAACAUUUUCUUCAGCCUACAAGUUCUUCUUUU
rnacentral:lncRNA from 1 species